UCUUGUAUUAGAGACAGGAUUUUACCCUGUCGGUCAGGCUGGUCUCAAACUCCCAACCUCAAAUGAUCUGCCCACCUCAACCUCCCAAAGUGCUGGCAUGAUGCUGACAUUUGGGAUAUGAUAGAACCCGUCACCCGGGGAGUGAACACAGUAUCCAAUAGGUAGUUUUUCAACCUUUGCCCCUCUCCCUUGUCCCCACUUUUUGUAGUCCCCGGUGUCUAUUGCUCCCACUUUUCUGUCCGUGUGUACCCUAUGUUUAGCUUCCACUUACACAUGAGAACAUGCAGUAUUUGGCUUUCUGUUUCUGGCUACUUCACUGAGGAGAAUGACCUCCAGCUGUAUCCAUGUUGCUGCAAAGACAUGAUUUCAUUUUUUAUGGCCAUACAGUAUUCCAUGGUGCAAAUAUACCACAUUCCUUUAUCCAAUCCACCACUGAUAGGUGCCUACUUGAUUCCAUGUCUCACUACUGUGAGUAGUGCUAUGAUGAACAUAUGGGUGUGUGUGUCUUUUUGGUAGAAUGAUUUAUUUUCUCACUAAGAAACUGUUCAUGAAUGCAGCACAUGUGGCUUCAUGACUGUAUUAGAAUGGAUUAAUACUAUCAGAAUUAUCAAAUAUUUGUCACUUAACAGCUUACAAAAUGCCUUCACAGGUACUUCAUUUAAUCUCAAUACAGUCCUGAGAGUUGGUGAUUUCCCCUGUUUUCUAGAGGGGUCCCAAGCCUGAGAAAGCUGGAAUGAUACUCGUAGGACAAUCAGGUCGUCAAGCUAAGAUUCACACCUGUUUUCUGUCUCUUAGUCCUGCGCUUGUUCCGUGUUCUCUGAGCCUCCAUAAGAUGUAUUGGUCACCUCCUAUUCUCCGAGUUGGCUGAGGCUAAAAUUAGAGGAGGUAGUUACAGCUUUUAAAGCUCAGCCUGAGAGCAUCUCACUCUGUCACCCAGGCUGGAACACAGUGGCACGAUCGCAGCUCAUUGCAACCUCUGCCUCCCGGGCUCAAGCCAUCCUUCUGCCUCAGCCUCCUGAGUAGCUGGGACCACAGAUGAGGAAACUGAGGCACUGCAAGAUUAUAUAACUUGCCUAAUGAGAAACAGCUAAUAAGUGGCAGAGUCUGAAUUUGAAAAUGGAAUGAUCUUUGUAGCUUAAAAAAAAUUGAAUUGCUGGGAUGAACAGAAAUGAUGGACAGCUGUUCUCUGGCCCCUGAGGCCAGAGUAGAGUCUAGCAAACAGCUAUCCCCACAGCGCAGCGUGAACAUCGGCAGAGGCUGGGGUUUGGUAUCCUCUCCGGAGAGAAGGCAAGAGUUGAAGAACAGCAGAAGCCCAUUCAUUUCUGGGUGAGAAGGAGACAGCAGACCCUCUAGGAAA